CGAGGAAGACUAGUGUUAUUCAUCUUUAAUAGGUUUAAAGGGUACCUAGACGGUACUUUUAGCCCAAAACAGGGUACGGAUUUACUAGAGUUUUAUGUGAGAAGGGGAGUACCCAUGGAGUAGAGAUUGAAAAUUUUUUAAUACUAUGGGGUAACGUAGGUAGAGGCGAAAGACAACCUUACUAUGUAUAAAACUGACGUUGAGGGACGAAGGCCCGGGUAGCAAACAGGAUU
rnacentral:rRNA from 1 species